GGUUCCUUAGCUCAGCUGGUUAGAGCGCGGUGCUAAUAUGAGAAUCAUUCUCUAGUUACGCCGAGGCCGCGAGUUCGAUCCUCGUAGGAACCA